rnacentral:rRNA from 1 species
CCUACGGGUGGCAGCAGUGAGGAAUAUUGGUCAAUGGACGAGAGUCUGAACCAGCCAAGUAGCGUGAAGGAUGACUGCCCUAUGGGUUGUAAACUUCUUUUAUAAAGGAAUAAAACGAGGCACGUGUGCCUUUUUGCAUGUACUUUAUGAAUAAGCAUCGGCUAACUCCGUGCCAGCAGCCGCGGUAAUACGGAGGAUCCGAGCGUUAUCCGGAUUUAUUGGGUUUAAAGGGAGCGUAGAUGGGUUGUUAAGUCAGUUGUGAAAGUUUGCGGCUCAACCGUAAAAUUGCAAUUGAUACUGGAAGUCUUGAGUACAGUUGAGGUAGGCGGAAUUCGUGGUGUAGCGGUGAAAUGCUUAGAUAUCACGAAGAACCCCGAUUGCGAAGGCAGCUUACUAAACUGUGACUGACACUGAUGCUCGAAAGUGUGGGUAUCAAACAGGAUUAGAUACCCCUGUAGUC